GAUGAACGCUGGCGGCGUGCCUAAUACAUGCAAGUCGAGCGAACAGACGAGGAGCUUGCUCCUCUGACGUUAGCGGCGGACGGGUGAGUAACACGUGGAUAACCUACCUAUAAGACUGGGAUAACUUCGGGAAACCGGAGCUAAUACCGGAUAAUAUAUUGAACCGCAUGGUUCAAUAGUGAAAGACGGUUUUGCUUUCACUUAUAGAUGGAUCCGCGCCGCAUUAGCUAGUUGGUAAGGUAACGGCUUACCAAGGCAACGAUGCGUAGCCGACCUGAGAGGGUGAUCGGCCACACUGGAACUGAGACACGGUCCAGACUCCUACGGGAGGCAGCAGGAGGGAAUCUUCCGGAAGGGGCGAAAGCCUGACGGAGCAACGCCGCGUGAGUGAUGAAGGGCUUCGGAUCGUAAAACUCUGUUAUUAGGGAAGAACAAAUGUGUAAGUAACUAUGCACGUCUUGACGGUACCUAAGCAGAAAGCCACGGCUAACUACGU
rnacentral:rRNA from 1 species